AUCAUACCAAAAAAGUAAUUGAUGUAACUGUAUUGAGAAUGAGGAGAAGAUAUAAGAUGACUUGGAUGCAAGUUGAAGCUUCACUUGAUUGGGAAUCAGGAUAGGGGCAGAAUGAAUAAGGAUUUGAAAUAUUGACUUGAAGGAUGACAUGAGGCUAAGGUUUAGAAAUUGACCACUACACUCACAUUCAUGUUUCCCUCAAAUAUUUUUUUUGUCAACUUUUUUUGCUUUUUUAAAAAUUUAAUAGAAUCUUUUAUGUUGCCUCUAACAUAGAAUAAUUUCCAAUUGUGUCUUUCUUCUCUCACUCUCUCACACUUGCUCACUCGCUUCUUUUAAGAACCCAAUGUAGAAUGCCUGAAGCAUUUCUUUGACCACUGUGGGAAUUGAAACUUGUUGUUUACAAGUAUCUUUUAAUUUUUUUAAGUUCAGAUUAUGUGCUCUGGCCAUCUCUUAUUGUUUCUUGGGCCUUUUGAUUCCACUUACAACAAAUUCAAAGCUGAUUAUGAGUGCCUAAAAGUACUUGAAUCUACUAGCAUUAGGUGAUACAUUUGCAUGAUAGAAUUUCACCAAUGUCUGUUCUUCAAAAAGACGAAGAAUUCUUGAUUUUUUCUGUCCUCUGAUAUAUAUCUAAUGUCACUUGAUUUGCAUUCUGAACCUUAACUUCUGAAUUAUAUAACAAAACCGCUGACUACAUUUCCAAUGUGCAGAGAGGUCUUAGUGAUACAUUUUUGGUAUUUUGUAAUGCUUUUGUUCUGUUUAUUCUGAUGGCUUCACCUUCUUGAUGUCGAUGACAGUUGACGGACCUGACCUGAGCUGUACUGACAAGUGCAGCCUAUGUUCACCUCAAGCAAGCAGAAUUGUGCAAGUACACGCAAAACCUUUCUCCCGCAAGUCGAGCCAUUUUGCUGUCAGGCCCUGCAGGCAGUUUAUGUUCAACAAAGUCAUUAUUUAGUUAGUGUUGAAGGACUUAAAGUGUAUAUGCCUAGUCAUAUGCUUUGCCUAAUUCUAGAGAUCUUUGUUUUAAGAGCUUUACCAACAAAUGCUUGCCAAGGCACUAGCCUAUUACUUUGAGGCCAAAUUGCUGUUGCUAGAUAUUACUGACUUCUCACUCAAGGUCAGUAGAUGCAACCAUAGUUCUUUUUCUAUGCAUUUAUGAUUUUAAAAUUUUAUUGGGCAUUUGGUUACAGAUUCAGAGCAAAAAUAGCAGUUCCAACAAAGAUUCCAUAGGAAUUCUGAACUUAAACACCUUAUAGUCAAGUAGAUCUAUGUUUUGAUGUGGAAUAAGAUUCAGGAACCUAAACAUUUUUAUCACUCUACGAUUGUUUGUUUUUCUUUCCCCCUCCCCCUCUUCCCCUCUUUAGAAGACAAAAGACAUGAAGACAUGUACCCCUCUUUUUUUUUGAUGAAAGGAGUUUGGGGAGACCUAACUCAUAAUAUUUUAUUGAUAAAUAGGGUAGGUUAUUUUACAUCAAUUUGUGUUGCUUGCUACUAGACAAACUGAGUUGGAUGCUCACUCUUUUCCUUUCCAUGGCGCUUCCCGAGGCUCAUACUCUUGGAUGUGUGCAUGCAAGCCAUGCCAACAGUUGUUAGGAUAAUGGGUAGAGGGGGGAGAGUUUGGCUAAGACACAUACUAUGGUUAUUCUAGAAUUAUAAUAACUUAUUUACUCUGCUUCAUGAUCAUUCAUUUUACAUGUUCUAGAAUCGAGCUUUUCUGUAGAGUUCAUUUAAUCACAUUAUGAUGUAUGCUUACUUGGUGCAUUUAUUUUUAUCCAGUUUUUUGGAAGAUCUGUAUCUGAGGGAAGUUUGGAGAGAAUGAUCUUGAGUGUGAUGAUUUGUGCUCAAUCUGCCUAGCAGAUACAACAGUUCUCAGUAAUUACCACUUGAUGAAUAACAAAAAAUCUGAAUAUAGAAAUUGAAAGCUUGUCAUUUCUUCAAAGAGUUUGUCCCAUGGAUUGAGCAUAUUCUAAGAAAAUAGGCUUUCUGGUGUGAGGAUAUACUCUAAAGCUCGGAGCAAAUGUUGGAUCAGGAAAAGAAAUUGUAGCUGAAGACAGUGCCACUGUGGCUGCGGUAAACCUGAAGUGAGUGCUGAACUCACCUUCAGAAAAGAAAAGUGAAAGCAGAGAAACCAGGACCGGUGGUUCAAGAUGCUGAGGGUUCAUCUCUCUUCCACCAAAAACACCAGAAGUUGCUUCAGACUGAGUUUGAAAAGUGGAUCAGACGAGGUCAUCCCAGCAAGUGAAGUUGGGGUGACAUUUAAUGACAUAGGUGCCCUUGAUGAAAAUCAAAGAAUCUCUUCAAGAAAUAGUCAUGCUUCCCCUAUGAUGUCCUGACCUCUUUACUGGAGGCCUCCUAAAGCCUUGCAGAGGAAUCCUACGGUUUGGGCCACCUGGAACUGAACCUGAGGGGUUGCAAGCCUUCUUCCAACUGAUGCCGGUCAUGGUAGCCAAUCUCUUUAAAAGCUUUUUGGUAUCUUGGAGAUGACUAUUUCCCAGAGUUCUCUAGGCAUUUCAUUUGGGAUCUCCUUUGAAGUUUCUUCAACCUGCUUGUAUGGAAACUGCCCACAGUGGGUCUUCUCCUGUUACCAUCUGAAUGGCAUUGGUUUGUUCUGUUGGGGUAGGGUCCACCCAAACUGAUUUAGAGAGAGUGAUGUUUUCUUAAACUCUUUUUCACUCCAAUCCUUGAAGAUGAAGCAAUCUUCUAUUCUAAGUUCAGGUUGGUAUGGCCCAGUACCUUCAUUGUCUUUUGUCCCUUGAAAUGACAUAGAUAAAUGGGAGUGAAAUCUACACUAUAGAUUGCAUGAGCUAGCUAGUCAAUCCAGCCAGUUUUCUUGCCUGGUUCACCCUACUCGGUUAUAUCUUGGCUUCAUAUCAAUCACUGAAUUCAAUUCUGAUUACUGUCAUUGCAUGAGAUUUCCUUUUUUUUUUUUUUUGAUGGGUAAUUUUUUAGUAUCUUCUAGCCAAGGCCAUAGCAAAUGAAGCUGGAGCAGGUUUCAUCAAUGUUUCAAUGUCCACAAUCACAUCAAAAUGGUUCGAGGAAGAUGAGAAGACUCUCAGAGCUUUGUUUACGCUGGCUGCUAAGGUUGCCCCUAUUAUCAUUUUCAUGGACAAGGUCGAUAGCAUGCUUGACCAGUGAACUAGGGUAGGAGAACAUGAGGCAAUACUGAAGAUCAAGAACGAGUUCAUGACCCAGUAGGAUGGGCUCUUAACGAAGUCCCGGUAGAGAAUCCUUGUUUUAGCAGCAACAAACAGACCAUUUGAUCCUGAUGAAGCAUUUAUUAGGAAGUUUGAGUGCAGAAUCAUGGUGGCUUACGAUCAGUGGAGAGCAGGGAAAUAAUCUUAAGGAAACUUUUGUCAGAAGGAAAGAUUGAAGGACUUGACUUCAAGGAGCUUGCAGCCAUGACAAAGGAUACAGUGGUAGCGAUGUUAAAGUUUAAAUAGAAGCGGAAGGCUGAGGAAGGAGACAGUUUGGCAGAGAGUUAGAAAACGGGGAAGAGCCUCGAUGAGGAACCUCAGACCAUCAAACAUGGAAGACUUAGGCAGCCAAAGAAUCAGGCGAGUUUAUUCUUCACUGGUACUCUCUAAAAUCUCCAUGUGCAAGAGAAGUUGUGUCCACACACACACAUGCAUACAUACAUAUGUAUCACAAUAUGCUUUCAAAUAUACCUUGUUUGAAUCUGGAAUACUUAAAAUCUGGGUUACAUAUGUGAUUGAUUGAUCCAACCCUUGAGCUCACUUAUUAUUUGGUUUUUUUUUUUUUCCUUUUGUUUUUGCUUAACAAUUGUAGAUC